CAGCAGCAGCCGCGGUAAUACGAAGGGGGCUAGCGUUGCUCGGAAUUACUGGGCGUAAAGGGCGCGUAGGCGGCCAUUCAAGUUAGAUGUGAAAGCCCUGGGCUCAACCUAGGAAUUGCAUUUGAUACUGUUUGGCUUGAGUUCGGGAGAGGUGAGUGGAAUUCCCAGUGUAGAGGUGAAAUUCGUAGAUAUUGGGAAGGACACCAGUGGCGAAGGCGGCUCACUGGACCGACACUGACGCUGAGGCGCGAAAGCGUGGGGAGCAAACAGGAUUAGAUACCCGCGUAGUCCCUGUCUCUUAUAC
rnacentral:rRNA from 1 species